rnacentral:rRNA from 1 species
UACGUAGGGAGCAAGCGUUGUCCGGAAUCAUUGGGCGUAAAGCGCGUGCAGGCGGUCUGGUAAGUUGGAUGUGAAAGCUCCUGGCUCAACCGGGAGAGGUCGUUCAAUACUGCCAGACUCGAGGACGGUAGAGGAGAGUGGAAUUCCCGGUGUAGUGGUGAAAUGCGUAGAUAUUGGGAAGAACACCGGUGGCGAAGGCGGCGACCUGGUCCGAUACUGACGCUGAGGCGCGAAAGCGUGGGGAGCAAACAGG